rnacentral:rRNA from 1 species
GACGAACGCUGGCGGCGUGCUUAACACAUGCAAGUCGAACGGAAAGGCCCUGCUUUUGUGCGGUGCUCGAGUGGCGAACGGGUGAGUAACACGUGAGUAACCUGCCCUUGACUUUGGGAUAACUUCAGGAAACUGGGGCUAAUACCGGAUAGGAGCUCCUGCUGCAUGGUGGGGGUUGGAAAGUUUCGGCGGUUGGGGAUGGACUCGCGGCUUAUCAGCUUGAUGGUGGGGUAGUGGCUUACCAUGGCUUGGACGGGUAGCCGACCUGCGAGGGUGACCGGCCACAUUGGGCCUGAGAUACGGCCCAGACUCCUACGGGAGGCAGCGGUGGGGAGUAGUGCACAAUGGGAGGAAGCCUGAUGCAGCAACGCCGCGUGCGGGAUGACGGCCUUCGGGUUGUAAACCGCUUUCGCCUGUGACGAAGCGUGAGUGACGGUACUGGGUAAAGAAGCACCGGCUAACUACGUG